rnacentral:rRNA from 1 species
AACGAACGCUGGCGGCGUGGAUAAGACAUGCAAGUCGAACGAAGCUUAUUUUGUAGCAAUACGAGAUAAGUUCAGUGGCGUAAGGGUGCGUAACACGUGAGUCAUCUGCCGGGAAGUGGGGGAUAGCUCGCCGAAAGGCGAAUUAAUACCGCAUGUGAUCGCAAGAUCAAAGCAGCAAUGCGCUUCCUGAUGAGCUCGCGGCCUAUCAGCUAGUUGGCGGGGUAACGGCCCACCAAGGCAGUGACGGGUAGCUGGUCUGAGAGGACGACCAGCCACACUGGAACUGAGACACGGUCCAGACACCUACGGGUGGCAGCAGUCGAGAAUUUUUCUCAAUGGGGGAAACCCUGAAGGAGCGACGCCGCGUGGAGGAUGAAGGUCUUCGGAUUGUAAACUCCUGUCAUCUGGGAACAAAGCCGCAAGGUGUGAUAGUACCAGAAGAGGAAGAGACGGCUAACUCUGUGCCAGCAGCCGCGGUAA